AGAUGAAAACACAAGCUUGGUUAAAGUCUUGUCAAAGAGCACAAAGAUCAAUCUCACCUCAGCGUCCAGCUCAGCAGUCACUGGAAGCUGCAUCACCACUGUGGGGGUCGUUUGCCUAAACCAAGGAGCCAAGAGGAAGGUCGACGAUGCUGAGGAAGGACAGAGUAGGAAGAGGAGACUGGUCACCGAGGACGUUAAGGAGGAGCCAACCAUCAAGAGUCAAGAAAAGACAAAACCCAGAGAGGAGGCAGCGUCAGUCACUGGAAGCUGCAUCACCACUGUGGGGGUCGUUUGCCUGAACCAAGGAGCCAAGAGGAAGGUCGACGAUGCUGAGGAAGGACCGAGUAGGAAGAGGAGACUGGUCACCGAGGACGUUAAGGAGGAGCCAACCAUCAAGAGUCAAGAAAAGACAAAACCCAGAGAGGAGGCAGCGUCAGUCACUGGAAGCUACAACCCCUCUGUGGAGGUCGUUGGGCAGAACCAAGGAGCCAAGAGGAAGGUCGACGAUGCUGAGGAAGGACCGAGUAGGAAGAGGAGACUGGUCACCGAGGACGUUGAGGACAUUAAGGAGAA